UCAUCGGCGACUCGGGCGCAGGGCUGCAGCUGGCAGAGGUCUUGGGAGUGCUUUCUGUAAUGAAAGAACACGAAAGGCUGAAAAUAGCCGUCUUUCACCAUGAGCAUUACUUUCCUCACCCAGGAAACACAUUCAACGCCUGUGCAAGAAGACAGCAUGGCGGGCCACUGGGUCUAUGGCCUGAGAGAAACUUCAUCUUCUGCAUUAAAAAAUGAAAAAACAAACGAACGAACAAGAACCCUGAAAACCGCAACAGAAGAAAAACUAGAGGUUUGAACAAAAGGGAUCUGAAGGCUUAAGACAAGGGCAUCCUGUUGCGAAAGUGCUGUCGUAUUAACCACGGGCCAUCACGGUCAUGAUGUCUUCCGGCGGGACCCCGUGAUUCCAGAAUUCAGAAGUCCCUCAGCUAAAUUAUAAUCUGCAUCUUAUAUUCUGUCCCUAAUUUUCAGAACAAAAUGAACGGGUGGAUUAUUUUAAAUGAGGGCGGCCCACGACGUGUGGUUAGGAAGGCCCCAGAAGAGGAGACCUAAGGCCUCGGCCACUGGCCCCAGGGGGGCCCCCCGCUCCGUGCUGAGUCCUGGGACUCCCUGUGGGUUCUUGCUGUGAUCCCAGAGGGCUCCACAGCACCCAGCCUGGAGGGGACCGACAGAAGAGAAGCACUCACUCUGCUCCCUGUCAAACCCCAGGGCGUGCUUCUGAAGGCCAAGCUCUGUCACACACGCUGGCACCGGGAGAUGGGGCCAGAGUGGCAGUCGGGUCUCCAUGCUCUCCCUUCUGUCCUGGUCCGGGUGCCCAGUAGGGAGCGCCAGCCCGUGCCACCCGUGAAACCCAGCCUCCGUCGGAGUCCUAGGAUGUCUGGAAUGAAGGCUUUGGCCAUUUCCUAAUUACCAAAUACACAGAAAGGCUGUGUCCGGGAGGAAAACGCAGAGUGAGAUAGCACUAAGGUCCUAUUCGAGGUAAAGUCAGCUGAUGGCUUGGUGUCUUGGGACAGGCUCCCUCUCGCCGCCUCCCAUCAAGCCUGGCACAUAGCAAGAGCCCAUGUGCCACGUGUGAGGGGCCAGGCCAGGUCCUGUCACUUGGGCUGUAUGGCCUCAGAGAGAUAAGUCUCAGGAAGCAGGCCCCUCAUGGGACAUCAGGGCACCUGGGUGGCCCCCAAAACACUCGCUACCUGAUUAGACAAAAUGUAACAUGGAGUAUUGACUGAAUUUCAAUUGGGCCAUAGAAGUGGAGUGUCCUUUGCUGGACACGUCACAUCCAAGAUAGCAACCUGGAUCAGACGCAGGAUAACGACCUAUUCUGAACUCAACAAGAUGGGAGAUGUAUUCUGAAUACAAGGGAUGUUUUGUGUAAAUACCUAGAAAAAAUCCCAAAUGAAACAACUUCAAUUCAACCAGUGAACCUGUUUAUCAUCCUAAACAGGACCAGGGUUCCACCAUCACAUAAACCUGUGUCCUCAACCUGGAAAUUCUGGUUUAAAAACAAACAAACAAACAAAAAACAACCCGCUGGUUUGUAGAAGAUGUAAAAGAGCUAGACGUAAACAGCAGAAAUGAUCCGUAUAAAUCUUGAAGGCAAUAUGAAUCCUACAAAUCGGAUUUCUUCUCUCUGCUCACCUCCGGGUCAUCGUACAACUGGAUAUAAAACCCAGCAAAUGUUAUUUUUGUUUCUGAAGCAGCAAAGAAAUUGUACUGUAAAUUUGCCCCGAUUCACCCAUGCGAGGGACCGAUGUGGCAGACCAUCCAUCUUGCUCACUGCAGACUGUCAAGGAUGGCAUGAAUCCCCACAUGAUAAACAGAUUCCUUCUCAGGUUUGUGUCCUGUAACCCACAGCAAGGUCAAAAGCAUGGCUGCCUGGCUAACAAACCGCACGGUGCCACCGCCUGGUGCUUCCCCUGUUUUGUCUGGUGCCGGCCGAGACCGAGCUCCCGAAUCACCGGACGGCGGUGCGUUUCUUUCUCGCAGGCGUUCCCGGCCAGUACUCGUGUGGAUUUUUGCCACGCAGAAGCCCUGAGAGAACCGGACAGAGGCACUGGCCGCACGUUACUGGCGUCCCUCUGCGCUCCCAACCAUGGCUGCAGACAAAGGCAAGGCCCUCAAGAUCACCCCCCACCCAACGCUGGGCCUGGAAAUGUACCGGGAAAGUGCCGCUGGGCGGGUUUGCAUUGGAUCUCCACUCUGUGUCGAAACUGCAACUGACAACUCGAAGCGGAGUGCUCUUUCCGGGGGACGACGAUUCACGGACCGACACGUGCACACACACGCCACUGUGCUCUCGGGUCACGGAAAGCAGAUUGGGCCCACGUGUUUGGCUAGGCACGGACAGAUGCAAUGGCAAAUGGCCCCGUGGGAGACGCCACAAAUCCUCACGCAGAGAGCAUCACGUUGGAAAGGGAGUCAUUUCUUUAGAAAGCUGUCCAGGAAGCCCUAUGCUCCAGCGGCCGGACCGGCACCACAGCGGCUAAUGAACCAGAACCAAGCCCGUUUUGGUGGGAGCACCACAGAGACAGGCUCUAGAGCCCCUGGCAAGGUGGCCCGGCCCCUGGGUGCAGGAAGGACAGGUGGUUGCCUGUCCUUGAUCAUCUUGACAGAAUAAGAAACGUUGUCAACAGAAAAGGAUGGUACUUUUUUUGUUCGUUUUCCCCCAAAUCACCAAAUGGAGGCCUCUGACUAAAACAAUACUUUUUUUGAGAGAGAGAGAGAGAGAGAGACAGAGCACGAGCAGGGGAGGGGCAAAGAGAGAGGGAGAUACAGAAUCCGAAGCAGCUCCGGGCUCUAGGCUGUCAGCACAGAGCCCGAAUCGGGGCUCGAGCCCACAAACCAGGAGAUCGUGACCUGAGCCGAAGUCGGAUGCUUCACCGACUGAGCCACCCAGGCGCCCCUAAACCAAUACUUUUUUGAAGGAAUAAGGCUUUCUUCCACUCCACGUAAUUACAAGUAAUUUAAAAAACAAAAAAAGGAAGAGUCCUGGGCUUGGCAUUAAGAUACGAACUUGGGGGUAGGGCUACCUCUGUUAGCCAGCUGUUUUAACAUGAGUGGGAUUCUCAACUUCUUGGAACACCCCGGUUUCCUCAUCUGGAAAAUGCAGACAGCGUUGUAGUGAGGAAUGAACCUGGCACAUGGUUGGUGCUAAGAAACAAAACCCAAGUUGGAUGUUCUGUUUUUUUUUUUUUUUCUUUUUCUUUUCAAAGCAGUUAUUAGGGGCAUCGAUCGGGCCGGCUCCUUUGGAAGAGCGCGUGACUCUUCAUCUUGGAAUUUUGAGUUCAAGCCCCACACUGGGUAUAGAGAUUACUUAGAAGUAAAAGCUUUAGGAAAAAAAAAAAAUAAAAGCAGUGAUUAAAUUGUAUUGAAAUACAUUUGUUUACAUAAAGGGAACCUACAUUCAGUAUAAAUCUCCUCCUGAUUACUGCUGUUUCUUCCACAGUUCCUGGUGGAUACCAUGGAGAUAACAUUCUGGCAAAGGCUCUGGGCUAAGGCUCACGAGAAUGACCGACUGCACUCCUCGAAAGGACCAGAAGGGACAUCCAUGUUCCUCUUUUCACAGAUAUAAGACGUCACGUUCAGCGACACAGCUGGGAACCAGUCUGUAUUCAUAAUAGGCCACCUAUAUAGUGGGGCCAUGCCUGCACCCGCGUGUCCUUUCGUGGCAGAAGAACCGGGCCUGCCUUCCAGGACACAGUUGCUCUGCGAUCCGUGUCAACAUGUGCGAGUCUCAGAAACAUGGCGGUCAGGGCCAAAAAGCCAACCCACUACUGGGGUGAGGGAAGGGAACCAAAAUGUAAUUAGCAGCGAGAGAAGGGUGUUUACACCCGGCUGCAUCAAAUUCUCCUGAUGGCCCCGCGAUGGGAAUAUAAAUCCUGCAACUCCAGGUAGGGAAACUGAGGCUCAGACCGACAACAUGAGUUGUCCAGACCACGUUGGAUGGAGAAGGAUCCGAACCAGAUUGAGAGUAGAAACUCUCCACAUUUCCACUGUCCUUUGUCUGGCAAUUACGGAAAUAUAAGCAUAGGCAUGCUUUCA